UGAGUGAGGGCGUAAGAGGGGUAUAUGAAUGGUUGGGUGAUGAGCGUGUAAAUGAGAGUCAGGUGUGUGUCAUUAGUAAUCCGGCGAGCAGCUCCUUGCGGUCAGGCACGCACGGGGGAAGAGUCAGGGAGCUCCCUGACAGUUUCACGUUGUCACAUGCCAAGAAAACCCAAAAGAAGUCCUGGUUUCCUCUUUUCAUUUCCAUCAAAUGACCAGUUUUCUGCAUGACCCAGGAACCUUGGAAGAAUUUGCAGACCAAUUCCUAGCAGGGAACGUGAUGUAUGGAAAGUGGACACAUCAUGUAAAGAGCUGGAGAAACUUGGAUCUGGGUGACAGAAUUUUUUUCGUCACGUAUGAGGAGAUGAUUCAGGUAAAGUGUUUCCAUACAGAUGAUGCUAUAGAAUUAGAGGAAUUUGACUGGUUUUUACUUACAUGCUUUAUGUGAUCAAACAUUCUGGAUGUGAAAAACAGCACA